rnacentral:rRNA from 2 species
UGGGGAAUUUUGCACAAUGGGGGAAACCCUGAUGCAGCGACGCCGCGUGAUUUAGAAGGCCUUCGGGUUGUAAAAAUCUUUUCUAUGGGAAGAAAAUGACAGUACCAUAGGAAUAAGGACCGGCUAAUUACGUGCCAGCAGCCGCGGUAAUACGUAAGGUCCGAGCGUUGUCCGGAAUCAUUGGGCGUAAAGGGUACGUAGGCGGGUAAGCAAGUUAGAAGUGAAAUCCUAUAGCUCAACUAUAGUAAGCUUUUAAAACUGCUCAUCUUGAGGUAUGGAAGGGAAAGUGGAAUUCCUAGUGUAGCGGUGAAAUGCGCAGAUAUUAGGGGGAAUACCGGUGGCGAAGGCGACUUUCUGGCCAUAACCUGACGCUGAGGUACGAAAGCGUGGGUAGCAAACAGG